CCCUGCCGGGGCUAAAGUGCUGACAGUGCAGAUAGUGGUCCUCUCCGUGCUACCGCACUGUGGGUACUUGCUGCUCCGGUAGGG
rnacentral:pre_miRNA from 12 species